GUGCUUCUGAAAUACAGAUCUGAGAAGGCAAAGCUAGCAGGAAAGGAAGAGGAAUAAAGGCCAUGGGACAAGGAAGGGCUGCACUCAGCACAGCCUACCAAGCCCAAGGAAGCUGUACCACUGGGAACAGCCAGAAUCACCGCAGUCUGCAGAGAUACUGCAGAGAAAGGAGAUGCACAUAUGAGCAAAGGGAUUUCUUGCCUCCAUUACUAGCAAGAGAAUGUCAGAUUUGUGCCAAUUAGAGCUAGAGACCAAUGGACACAUGAGACCUGCACCAUUUCUUGUGGGGAGCACACAGCUGACUCCUUUCUGCAUCUAGGAGGUGGACAUGGCCUGGUUCUGAUCAAAGGUUCUGGACAAAGCUGGAGACUUGAGCGCAUCACCUAACCUACCGGGCUGGCUGACCAGCAAGGCAGCAAAUUGCAUUUCUGCUCCAAGAGGCAUAGAAGAUGAUUGCCAGGGAGACCUGCUCUCCACAGACCUACAGCAAUUCCUCUGGAGGCCUCUUCUCCAAAUGGGGGAUCGUUUUUGUAAGGGAUCGAUGGUGAUUGCCAAAACCUCUCUGCCCUGAAGCCAGCAAGUGGAAACGUUUCCGUUUCUCCUCUGGAUCUGACCCGAAGUCCCGGGACCCGAUGCCAUUCUGGAGAUUUAUUAGUGAAUCCUUCAUCUGCAAGACAAGAAACAUCUCCAAUGUGCUACCCUGAAGGUGACAGCACUUUGGGAUUUCCUUCCUCAUCGGUGCCUCCUCCAUCCAUGAUUUUCUCCUUGACUUGUCUGGAUGCCUAUGAGAUGAUAGAGAACCCAUCUAAAUAGCCCUUGGGACCUCCUGCCCAACCCAGUGGCAGAAGACUGACUGACUUAAAGGGAGAUGGGAGCAGAGGCAAUGCACCUGAUGAGCUGCAGUGGUCCAUGCCUAAUCAAUCCUCCAGAUGCAAGCACUCAAGCCACUGAUGAGAAGAUUCCCAGAUCUGGCUGCCCUGAGCUGCAACUCAGGGGCUCAAGCAGGUGCAAGCAGUGUGCCUGGAUAGCAGGCGGAGCUCGCCUGGACCAAGGUGAGGAUAAAUCUCCAUGGAGCAUAAGAGAUGUGAGGAGGAGCAGAGUCAAGAGAGUUGUAGGAAGACUUCAGGGCGUAUCAGGGCCCUUUUUGCACACUUUUCCCUGGAGAGGUACUUUGUUUUUGUAUGCCCUCAUCUAACUCUAUUGCUUUGUCUUGGGCCUCACUGGUUUCUAAGGUAGUUAAGCUUGUAGCUAAGCUUUUGUCUUCUGUUGGGUGUCUCUUCUUUAUUUUCUUUGCUUGUCUCUAAGACAACUAAAUCAUUGCUUUGUCUUCAACUUACCUCUUAGAAUCUGCUACUUAAGAUAGCUGGAUCUCUCCUCUCUUAGCUAUACCUCUUAAGCUUUACAGGAGGUAGUGGAGAUUUUUGUGUGUCCUACUCUAGAAACUGAGUGGAUAGCCUUCCUAUGGCUAUAACUGCUCCCAAAACUAACCUCUCAGAUACGUUUGUUCUUUCUCCUAGCACUGUAAUUUAACAGUCUAAGUGGUUCUUCUCUUAACUUAGCAAAUGAGCAGUGGGGUGCUAUUGCUAACUGCUGUGUUAACUGCUUCAGGGAUGCUCCUUGUUUUGCAGAGAUUUAUCCUCACCUUGAGCCAGUCAUGCUUCACCUGCUUGCCUGGUGUUCUGCAGUCACAUGGCUGUGAGUAGCAACCUGUCCUGAUGAUCUUUCCUGGGAAGCUUGAGAUUCUGGAGCUUGAGUGCUUGCAACUGUCCUGCUCAAGCAGCUCCAAAUGUGGAUAUAAAGCAAUGACAUUUUAAGCAUAACAGCAAAAAGCUACUGCAAUUUAAAAAUGGAUGCACUCUCAAUUUCUAAUAAAUAGCAGUCUACUUCUAACAACUGUUGCUUUCUUUGUCUAAAGGAAGAGGAUUGAUUAUAUUUAUAUGUGGGAUCACUCACUGUCCCUGCCAACUCCAAGUCAUACGGAUACAAAGGAAUGGGCAGGGGAGCCUCAGGGUGAGCAUAGACUAUUUCUGACCCAGCAGGUGGGUUUGGUCUAGGUCACAGCAACUACAGUUAAAACACCACAAAGUUGUGUCUGUAG